AUUGAACGCUGGCGGCAUGCCUUACACAUGCAAGUCGAACGGUAACAGGUCUUCGGAUGCUGACGAGUGGCGAACGGGUGAGUAAUACAUCGGGAACGUGCCCGAUCGUGGGGGAUAACGGAGCGAAAGCUUUGCUAAUACCGCAUACGAUCUACGGAUGAAAGCAGGGGACCGCAAGGCCUUGCGCGGACGGAGCGGCCGAUGGCAGAUUAGGUAGUUGGUGGGAUAAAAGCUUACCAAGCCGACGAUCUGUAGCUGGUCUGAGAGGACGACCAGCCACACUGGGACUGAGACACGGCCCAGACUCCUACGGGAGGCAGCAGUGGGGAAUUUUGGACAAUGGGCGCAAGCCUGAUCCAGCCAUGCCGCGUGCAGGAUGAAGGCCUUCGGGUUGUAAACUGCUUUUGUACGGAACGAAAAGAUUCUUUCUAAUAAAGAGGGUCCAUGACGGUACCGUAAGAAUAAGCACCGGCUAACUACGUG
rnacentral:rRNA from 1 species